AUCAUGAGUUCACAUGUCCGCAUGAUUAAAGGUAUUUUCCGGUAGACGAUGGGGAUGCGUUCCAUUAGAUAGUAGGCGGGGUAACGGCCCACCUAGUCAACGAUGGAUAGGGGUUCUGAGAGGGAGGUCCCCCACAUUGGAACUGAGACACGGUCCAAACUCCUACGGGAGGCAGCAGUGAGGAAUAUUGGUCAAUGGGCGAUGGCCUGAACCAGCCAAGUAGCGUGAAGGAUGACUGCCCUAUGGGUUGUAAACUUCUUUUAUAAAGGAAUAAAGUCGGGUAUGCAUACCCGUUUGCAUGUACUUUAUGAAUAAGGAUCGGCUAACUCCGUGCCAGCAGCCGCGGUAAUACGGAGGAUCCGAGCGUUAUCCGGAUUUAUUGGGUUUAAAGGGAGCGUAGAUGGAUGUUUAAGUCAGUUGUGAAAGUUUGCGGCUCAACCGUAAAAUUGCAGUUGAUACUGGAUGUCUUGAGUGCAGUUGAGGCAGGCGGAAUUCGUGGUGUAGCGGUGAAAUGCUUAGAUAUCACGAAGAACUCCGAUUG
rnacentral:rRNA from 1 species